rnacentral:rRNA from 1 species
UACGAAAGGGGCAAGCAUUGUUCGGAAUUACUGGGCGUAAAGCGCACGUAGGCGGCUUAUCAAGCUGGGGGUGAAAUCCCGGGGCUCAACCCCGGAACUGCCUCCAGAACUGGUUGGCUCGAGGAUGUGAGAGGACAGUGGAAUUCCGAGUGUAGAGGUGAAAUUCGUAGAUAUUCGGAAGAACACCAGUGGCGAAGGCGACUGUCUGGCACAUUUCUGACGCUGAGGUGCGAAAGCGUGGGGAGCAAACAGG